rnacentral:rRNA from 1 species
AUUGAACGCUGGCGGCAGGCCUAACACAUGCAAGUCGAACGGUAACAGGAAACAGCUUGCUGUUUCGCUGACGAGUGGCGGACGGGUGAGUAAUGUCUGGGAAACUGCCUGAUGGAGGGGGAUAACUACUGGAAACGGUAGCUAAUACCGCAUAACGUCGCAAGACCAAAGAGGGGGACCCUCGGGCCUCUUGCCAUCGGAUGUGCCCAGAUGGGAUUAGCUUGUUGGUGGGGUAACGGCUCACCAAGGCGACGAUCCCUAGCUGGUCUGAGAGGAUGACCAGCCACACUGGAACUGAGACACGGUCCAGACUCCUACGGGAGGCAGCAGUGGGGAAUAUUGCACAAUGGGCGCAAGCCUGAUGCAGCCAUGCCGCGUGUAUGAAGAAGGCCUUCGGGUUGUAAAGUACUUUCAGCGGGGAGGAAGGGAGUAAAGUUAAUACCUUUGCUCAUUGACGUUACCCACAGAAGAAGCACCGGCUAACUCCGUG